AUUGAACGCUGGCGGCAGGCCUAACACAUGCAAGUCGAACGAGUGGCGGACGGAUGAGUAAUGUCUGGGAAACUACGCGAUGGAGGGGGAUAACUACUGGAAACGGUAGCUAAUACCGCAUACUAUCAGAUGAGCCUAGGUGGGAUUAGCUAGUUGGUGGGGUAAAGGCCUACCAAGGCGACGAUCCGUAGCUGGUCUGAGAGGAUGAUCAGUCACACUGGAACUGAGACACGGUCCAGACUCCUACGGGAGGCAGCAGUGGGGAAUAUUGCACAAUGGGCGAAAGCCUGAUGCAGCCAUGCCGCGUGUGUGAAGAAGGCCUUCGGAUUGUAAAGCACUUUAAGCUGGGAGGCGUUACCCACAGAAGAAGCACCGGCUAACUCCGUGCCAGCCGCCGCGGUAAUAC
rnacentral:rRNA from 1 species